UACGUAAUGAUACAAGCACCUGGUAACAG
rnacentral:sRNA from 1 species